rnacentral:rRNA from 1 species
CUACGGGAGGCAGCAGUGGGGAAUCUUGCGCAUGGGGGGAAAGCCGGUCGCGCCCUGGCCGCGGGUGUGAAAAAGGCCUUCGGGUUGUAAAGCACUUUCAAUUGGGAGGAAAUGCUCACGACUAAUACUCGUGAGCUGUGACGUUACCUUUAAAAGAAGCACCGGCUAACUCCGUGCCAGCAGCCGCGGUAAUACGGAGGGUGCGAGCGUUGAUCGGAAUUACUGGGCGUAAAGAUCGCGUAUGUGGUCUGUUAACUCGGAUGUGAAAGCCCCGGGCUCAACCUGAGAACGGGUUCCAAUACUGGCAAACUCCACUGGGGGAGAGGGAGGGAGAAUUCCUCUUGAAGAAUUGAAAUGCGUAAAGAUGUGGAGGAAUACCACUGGGAAACGCGGGCUCCUGGCUCUGCGCUGACACUGAGGUGCGAAACCCUGGGGAGCCAACCCGAUUACAAACCCUGGUAGUUCACGCCGGAGACAAAGUCUACUAGCUGUAGGGGUACUUGAGACCUUUAUAGCCCGGCUAACGCAGUAAGUAGACCGCCUGGGGAGUACGGCCACGGAGUCAACAAUCUGAU